AUACGCUGCGAAAAGCCGUGGGGAGCUGCGAAUAAGCUUUGAUCCAUGGAUCUCCGAAUGGGGCAACCCACCUUAAAUACCUAGAAAAUCUGAAUUGUUGACCGCAAACAUCCUGCUCUUUCGCUUGCUCUUCGGAGUGGCGAGGGAAAAGGAUCGAAGCCCGUUUGGGCUUCGCAAGGCCGGAGGCCGUCGCUGCUGAUGCAGCGUAGCCUCAACGGCCUGGUGGCUGGUUGGACACUUCAGGUUUCUAGGUAUUGUAACAAGGUAUCUUCACCUGAAUAAAAUAGGGUGUAAGAAGCGAACGCAGGGAACUGAAACAUCUAAGUACCUGCAGGAAAGGACAUCAACCGAGACUCCGCAAGUAGUGGCGAGCGAACGCGGACCAGGCCAGUGGCAAUGAAGUUUAAAGUGGAAGAACCUGGAAAGGUUUGCCGUAGAGGGUGACAGCCCCGUACGCGUAGAUAGCUUUAUUGUCCUAGAGUAGGGCGGGACACGUGAAAUCCUGUCUGAACAUGGGGAGACCACUCUCCAAGCCUAAGUACUCGUGCAUGACCGAUAGC
rnacentral:rRNA from 1 species